ACGGCCCAGGCGGCAUUGGUG
rnacentral:miRNA from 1 species